rnacentral:lncRNA from 10 species
UAAAAUUCUCUCCAGCGAGGAGAGGACCAUGACGGCCAGGCCACGCUUGCUCUGAAAAGCGCCGAGCGUGGAAGGGUGUCUUGGAAUGGGGUCUAAAAGGGAGAACGACAUCCUUAUGACUUGCUUUAGGCUGCUUUCUGGAUGUAUUUUCAGAGCUGGGGAUGAGGAGAGGUUGCGUAAAGGUGCCGGCCUGCUGCUGGCCGGGGCUGGCAGCCUUUCAGCCGCCGCGGAUAAAGUUUGAACUUUUGCCGGGAGUGUCCCUCCAAAACGAUCAUCAAUCAGACAGAAUAGCUGCAAAUACCAACUCACAGACCAGGUUGGGAAUUAGGUGAUAGGGUCUUGCUAUGUUGCCUCGGCUGGAAUGCAGUGGCUGUUCAUAGACAUUAUCACAGCACACUACAGUCUCAAACUCCUGGACUCAAGCAAUCCUCCUGCCUCAGCCUCCUGAGUAGCUAGGACUACUGGGAUGCACUACUGCUCUUGGCAAAUUAAGGAUUUUGAGAUGGAGAGACUAUCCUGGAUUAUCUGAUGGGCUUAAUCAUUGACAAAGGUUCUUAUAUAAGGAAAAGUCAAUGUGAUAAUGGAAGCAGAUUUGAAGAUGCUGUGCAACUGGCUUUGAAGAUGGAGGACGGGGCCACAAGCCAAGGAUUGUUGGCAGCCUCUAAGCUGGAAGAGGUAAGAAGCAUAUUCUCCUGUGGCACCUCCGGGAGAAAUGCAGUACUGCCUAUACCUUGACUUUAGCCAAGUGAAACUAAUUUUAGACUUCUCACCUCCAGAACUGUAAGAUAAUAAAUUUGUGUUGAUUUAAGACACUAUGUUUGUGGUAAUUGGUUACAGCAAUAGGAAACUAAUAGACCAGGCAUUAUGUUAAGUGCUUUAUAUCAUUAAAGAAAUGUAUACAAAUCCAC